GUACGAAAACUUUACAAUGCACGAAAGUGUGAUAAGGGAAUCCCCAGUGCUCAUGCUUUGCAUGGGCUUUUGCCAAGAGCAAGUAUCUUGGCGAAUAAGUGGUGGGUAAGACUGGUGCCAGCCGCCGCGGUAACACCAGCUCCACAAGUGGCAGCCGCUUUUAUUGGGCCUAAAGCGUUCGUAGCCGGUCUGCUACAUCUCCUGUGAAAUGGUUCGGCCUAACCGAACUGCGUGCAAGAGACACCAGCAGACUUGGGACCGGGAGGAGUCAGAGGUAUGCGGGGGGGAGCGGUAAAAUGCUAUAAUCCCCCGUGGACCACCUGUGGCGAAGGCGUCUGACUAGUACGGAUCCGACGGUGAGGAACGAAAGCCAGGGGAGCAAUCCGG
rnacentral:rRNA from 1 species